rnacentral:rRNA from 1 species
AGGAAGGCUCUUGGGUUGUAAACCUCUUUUCUCAGGGAAGAAAAAAUGACGGUACCUGAGGAAUAAGCAUCGGCUAACUCCGUGCCAGCAGCCGCGGUAAUACGGAGGAUGCAAGCGUUAUCCGGAAUGAUUGGGCGUAAAGCGUCCGCAGGUGGCAGUGUAAGUCUGCUGUUAAAGCGUCUGGCUCAACCAGAUAAGGGCAGUGGAAACUACACAGCUAGAGUACGUUCGGGGCAGAGGGAAUUCCUGGUGUAGCGGUGAAAUGCGUAGAGAUCAGGAAGAACACCGGUGGCGAAAGCGCUCUGCUAGGCCGUAACUGACACUGAGGGACGAAAGCUAGGGGAGCGAAUGGGAUUAGAUA